rnacentral:rRNA from 1 species
GACGAACGUUGGCGGUGUGCUUAAUACAUGCAAGUCAACUGAAGCACCGGUAGUAAUACUGGUGUGGAGGUGGCGCACGGUGAGUAACACGUAGGUAAUCUGCCUUCAGGUCUGACAUAACCCCGAGAAAUCGGGGCUAAUAGCAGAUGAUGCAGCGGCUUGACAUCAAGACAGUUGUUAAAGCUUCGGCGCCUGAAGAUGAGCCUGCGUCUGAUUAGCUAGUUGGCGGAGUAAUGGCCCACCAAGGCUACGAUCAGGAACUGGUCUGAGAGGAUGAUCAGACACACUGGAACUGAGACACGGUCCAGACUCCUACGGGAGGCAGCAGUAAGGAAUAUUGCUCAAUGGGAGAAAUCCUGAAGCAGCAACGCCGCGUGAGGGAUGAAGGGCUUUUGCUCGUAAAACCUCUGUAGUGAGGGAAAAAAUUUCCACUCUGUGGAAUAUGAUGGU